rnacentral:lncRNA from 10 species
GUGGACUGGAAAAGAGGAAGGCAAACGCAGUGGCUAGGCGGAGACCUCCCAAAUCCCACGUCUCCCCGAGAAUCCCCGACGGGCUACAGACCUAGGGCAGCCAUAAGAAAAAACGUCAGCUACAUCUCGAGGGAGUGGGGUGGAGUGCGGGCGCUUGCUCUAGUCGAGCCCUGACAUCGAUUCUGCGGGGGCGGGGAGGAGUCGGCGCGGGGCUGGGGCUGGGAGGGGAGUUUAUUUAUUAGCCAGAUUAGCCAGCAUUAAUGGGGGAGCGGUGGCGGCCGGCGGCAGCAGGGACAUAGCUGGCAUAGCUGGCAUAGCGGCGGGGCCUCCUGCGGCGCGGGGCUCCGCGGCUUCAAAGGGGCUUAAAGAGGCCCUUGGUGGCACUGCCACGGCCCCGCGGGGGAGGGCGUGGGCGCGGGCGGCGGGGGAGAAGGCGGCCAUUGUGCACCGAGGGAUUAGGGCUCUGGCCUGGAAGGAAUUUUAAACUGCCGCGAGCCGGAGCCCCAGGACUCUCCUCCUGCCCCACCCCUGCCCUCCGGAGCACGCUGAGGUGUUUACCUGCUUUCCUAUGUCUGGGGUGGAGGGGGUGUCCUCUCUCCUCCCUCAAACUGGAGGCACCUAGGGUUACCAGAUCUGGCAAAUAAAAACACAAGACUUCCAGUUAAACUGGAUACUUUAAAUAGUGUAAGUCUGUCCCAAAUAUUGUAUGGGACAGACUUAUGCUAAAAUAUUAUUCGUUGUUUAUCUGAUAUUCAAUUUAAUUGGACGUCUUGUAUUUUUUUUCCUGGCAGCCCUUGAGGCAUUGAAAUCUCUAAUCCAUGUCUGGAAACAGAUUGAUGGUUCCCGAAAGUCCAGUGGGUAUGCCUCAUUUGAGAGAUCCCUAAGGGCAGGGUCGUGUCUCUCCCCUUACACUGGGAGUUUCCUGAAGCCCAGAUACUGAGUUUCACCCUAAAGAAGGCAGCUCUGAGAGCACUAUAUGUGUCCCCCGUCAGACUGGGAGCUUCCUGAGGACAGGGGCUAAAUUUCACCCAUGAGAGUAACGCUUCAAGAAACACUCUGUCUUCCUGCUUUGAGGACAGCUGAAGUCUUGCCACUUCUUCUGGAUGCUCUGACCAUCAGUAAGCCACCUCAGUCUCACCCUCCGCAGAAUGCAGGCCCACUCCGUUGCUGAAGGGCCUCCUCCUUGGGCCAGGGCGCCUGCUUCUGCCAGUGGCAUCAUCACCCCACUCCUCAGCCGCCAGUCAUCAGAGACACGGUCUGACUUUGUUACCCCGGCUGGAGUGCAGUGGUGCAAUCAUGGCUCACUGCAGCCUUAACCUCCUGGGCUCAAGUGAUCCUCUCGCCAAGGCUAGGAUAAGUAGCUAGGACUACAGAUGCGCCCCAUCACGCCCAGCUAAUUUUACAACUUCUGUAGAGAUGGAGUGUUGCUGGGUUGCCCAGGCUGGUCUUGAAUUCCUGGGCUCAAGCGAUCCUCCUGUGUCCGGAAUUGGUGGGUUCUUGGUCUCACUGACUUCAAGAAUGAAGCCGCGGACCCUCGCGAGUCUGUAUCCACCAGCUACUCUUCCAGAUUCAUGAGGCAAGGCCUGCCUGCUCACCUGGCUGGCCCCAAGCACCUCUUCAACCUGUUGCCACCGUCCUGCCUUGCUGCCCUUCUCAGCUCAUCCAGCAGGGUCUCCAAGUCGUGGAAACAGAAGCACAUAUACACACAUGCUCAUAUGUACAUGCCCACAGUCACAUAAGCACACCGAGAAACACCAUCGCAGACAUGUUCUCACAAGCACAUGUGCAUAACACUCACUACCCCUCACGCGUAUACACAUUAAUACACACACUCAUGCACACUCAGUCUUACACACACAGACACACAGCCAUAAUCACUGUUGUUGGUUGAAUUGUGCCCCCCCAUCCCCACCAAAAAGAUAAGUUGGAGUCCUAACCCCCAGUACCUGGGGAUGUGACCGUAGUUGGAAAUAGGGUGUUUGUAGAUGUAAUCAAAUUAAGAUGAGAUCUUACUGGAUUAGAGUGGGCCUUAAAUCCAGUGACUGGUGUCCUUAUAAGGAGAAAAAGAUUUGAAAACAGAGACAUGGAGACACAGAGCAGAAGGCCAUGUGAUGAUGGAGUCAGAGAUUGGAGUGAUGCAGCUAUGAGCCGAGAAAUACCAAGGUGCUGGCAGCCCCCAGAAGCAAGGAGAGAGGCAAGGAACAAUCUCCAUCAGAGCCUCUGGAAGAAACAGACUCUGCCAACACCUUGAUUUCAGACUUUUGGCCUCCUUCACUGUGCGAGAAUACGUUUCUGUUGUUUUAAACUACUGAGUCACCAAGUCUGUGGUACUGUGUUAUGGCAGCCCCGGCAACAAAUCCAAUCACACACACACACACACACACACACACACACACACACACACACACACACACAGCUGGCUCCAGGCUCAGUGAUGAGCUCAGAGGAGUUCCCCUUGGGAGCUGCUCUUUCUCUGUCUUCCUUCCUUAGUGAUUGGUCCAGUGGAUCCACAAAAGCUCAUGGCCCAGAGCAGGAGCCCAGUCAUUUUUAAUUCCUCUUCCCUGGAGUUCUUAACCAUGCGUUGCCCUCAAAAUCUGCUCUCAAGAUUUGGGUUGCCAUAUUUAGGAGCACCAGAAAACAUACAGGAAUGCUGUGUCUGCUUGCAUCAUAUUAAUUAAAAACUGGAAAUAACCUAAAUGUCCCAGAAUAGGUACAUAAACUGUGGCAUAUCCACUUAAUGGAAUACUACUCAGCAAUACAAAAGGAAAACCUAGUGUUACUUGAGCAACAUGGAUGAACUUCACAGACAUAAUAUUGCACAGCACGAGGCAGACACAAAAGUGUGCAUAUGCUAUGAUUCCAUUUACAUGAGAUUCAAGAACAGGCAAAGCAGAUCUAUGGGGAUAGAAGUCAGAAUAGUGGUUACCUCUGGAAGGUGGAAUUGACUGGGAGGGGCUUCAGGGAACCUCCUGGGGUGCUGAAAACAUUCUGUGCUUGCACCGGGUGGUGGUUAUGUGGGCAUUACAUAAAAUUCACCAAGCUGCACCCUUAAUGAUUUGUACAAUUUGAUGCACAAAUCUAACAUCUCAAGAAGAAUAAAUUUUACAAAGUACCUAAGAAGCAAAUGACCAGAA